AAACAAAAAGAGGGCGUGGGCCAAAGUUGCCCAGACUGUAUCUGCAGUGGCGGAUGUAGUAAAAAAAAAAGUGGGCUGACAUCAAAUCUAUUGUAAAAAAGAAUGGAACGGAGAGGGCAAGAGAGUUGAAAAAAAACCGGAGGAGGGAAGACGACAAUCCAGCUGGACCCACUGGAGGAGAAGUUGUUGGGGGCGAUUGCCGAAACGUUAGUUGAAGGAGUAGAUAGAGGAGUGGACACUGGAGAACCGGGAGAAGACGAUAGCCUGCAAGCAGGAGAUACUUUGGUCAUAAUAGCAGUCAACCAGGAUGCAGAACAAUCCCACACAAUCAAUGCAGCUGAACCAACCCAAGCCCUUACAAACCAUCAAAACCUGUUACAGAGUCCCGGGGAUGACCUGACAAUAUCCCAGCUAUUCUCGGAAACCUUUCAUACACCUGCCAGCCACAUCCAGAAGCAACACAGAGGACAUGGUCUCCCUUCAGCGUCAGCUUUUGGAGGAAGUUAAAAUGCUGAGGCACACUCCGGAGCAACUCCUGCAGGUGGAGAGGGAAAAGCUGCUCGUCGAGAGGGAGAAGCUUCACCUUGCCCAAGCCAAGUUUGAUUUAAAAAAAAAUGAAUGUUGAACCUAGAAUAAAAUAGCAAUCACUCAGAGGUUUUCAUGUGUUGUUUAUUGUGGUUUUUCUUCACAUGAAUCUCCUCCUUAUGAGGUCUUGUCU
rnacentral:lncRNA from 1 species